ACUCCUACGGGAGGCAGCAGUGGGGAAUAUUGCACAAUGGGGGAAACCCUGAUGCAGCCAUGCCGCGUGUGUGAAGAAGGCCUUCGGGUUGUAAAGCACUUUCAGUAGGGAGGAAGGUAGUGUAGUUAACACCUGCAUUAUUUGUACGUUACCUACAGAAGAAGCACCGGCUAACUCCGUGCCAGCAGCCGCGGUAAUACGGAGGGUGCGAGCGUUAAUCGGAAUUACUGGGCGUAAAGCGCAUGCAGGCGGCCUGUUAAGUCAGAUGUGAAAGCCCGGGGUCUUAACCGUCGGAAUUGCAUUUGAAACUGGCAGGCUAGAGUCUUGUAGAGGGGUUAGAAUUUCAGGUGUAGCGGUG
rnacentral:rRNA from 1 species